CCUACGGGAGGCAGCAGUGGGGAAUUUUGGACAAUGGGCGCAAGCCUGAUCCAGCCAUGCCGCGUGCAGGAUGAAGGCCUUCGGGCUGUAAACUGCUUUUGUACGGAACGAAAAGACUCUGGUUAAUACCUGGGGUCCAUGACGGUACCGUAAGAAUAAGCACCGGCUAACUACGUGCCAGCAGCCGCGGUAAUACGUAGGGUGCGAGCGUUAAUCGGAAUUACUGGGCGUAAAGCGUGCGCAGGCGGUUAUGUAAGACAGAUGUGAAAUCCCCGGGCUCAACCUGGGAACUGCAUUUGUGACUGCAUAGCUAGAGUACGGCAGAGGGGGAUGGAAUUCCGCGUGUAGCAGUGAAAUGCGUAGAUAUGCGGAGGAACACCGAUGGCGAAGGCAAUCCCCUGGGCCUGUACUGACGCUCAUGCACGAAAGCGUGGGGAGCAAACAGGAUUAGAUACCCUGGUAGUCCACGCCCUAAACGAUGUCAACUGGUUGUUGGGUCUUCACUGACUCAGUAACGAAGCUAACGCGUGAAGUUGACCGCCUGGGGGAGGUUACGGCGCGAGGUUAGUAACGUUACAAUUAGAGUUAGACGGCGNGAGACGNGCCGACGGACGACGACGAGGGAGGAGG
rnacentral:rRNA from 1 species